rnacentral:tRNA from 1 species
GGGUGAGUGGCGAAACUGGCAGACGCGCCAGAUUUAGGAUCUGGUGGGGCAACCCUUGGGGGUUCGAGUCCCCCCUCGCCCA